rnacentral:rRNA from 1 species
UACAGAGGGGGCAAGCGUUAUUCGGAAUUAUUGGGCGUAAAGCGCGCGUAGGCGGCCCGGUAAGUCCGCUGUGAAAGUCCAGGGCUCAACCCUGGAAAGCCGGUGGAUACUGCCGGGCUAGAGUCCGGAAGAGGCGAGUGGAAUUCCUGGUGUAGCGGUGGAAUGCGUAGAGAUGUGGAGGAACACCAGUGGCGAAGGCGACUCUUUGGUCUGUAACUGACGCUGAGGCGCGAAAGCGUGGGGAGCAAACAGG